rnacentral:rRNA from 1 species
UACGGGGGAGCAAGCGUUGUUCGGAUUUACUGGGCGUAAAGGGCGCGUAGGCGGCCACCGCAAGUCGACUGUGUAAUCUCCGGGCUUAACCCGGAAAGGUCAGCCGAUACUGCGGGCUAGAGUGCAGAAGGGGCAACUGGAAUUCUCGGUGUAGCGGUGAAAUGCGUAGAUAUCGAGAGGAACACCUGCGGCGAAGGCGGGUUGCUGGGCUGACACUGACGCUGACAGCGCGAAAGCUAGGGGAGCGAACGGG